AUUGAACGCUGGCGGCAUGCCUUACACAUGCAAGUCGAACGGCAUCACGGGAACGUUCACCUUGUUGGCGGUGGCUGACGGACGGGUGAGUAAUCCAAAGGAACGCACUAGCUAGUGGGGGAUCACCGGUAGCCAGACUGGUUAAUCCUGCGUUCGCCCUUCGAAGGAAAGGAGCGGUCCUUUCUGCCUCGCGCUGGUCGAGCGGUCGAUGUUGGGUUAGCUAGUUGGUGGGGUAAAGGCCUACGAAGGCGACGAUCGGUAGCUGGUCUGAGAGGACGACCCGCCACACUGGGACUGAGACACGGCCCAGACUCCUACGGGAGGCAGCAGUGGGGAAUCUUGGACAAUGGGGGCAAGCCUGAUCCAGCAAUGCCGCGUGUGUGAAGAAGGCCUUCGGGUUGUAAAGCACUUUCGGCAGGAAAGAAAUCGGCGGGGCUAAUAAGGCUGGUGGAUGACGGUACCGGCAGAAGAAGCACCGGCUAACUACGUG
rnacentral:rRNA from 1 species